UACGUAGGGUGCGAGCGUUGUCCGGAAUUACUGGGCGUAAAGAGCUCGUAGGUGGUUUGUCGCGUCGUCUGUGAAAUUCCGGGGCUUAACCUCGGGCGUGCAGGCGAUACGGGCAAUACUUGAGUGCUGUAGGGGAGACUGGAAUUCCUGGUGUAGCGGUGAAAUGCGCAGAUAUCAGGAGGAACACCGAUGGCGAAGGCAGGUCUCUGGGCAGUAACUGACGCUGAGGAGCGAAAGCAUGGGUAGCGAACAGGAUUAGAUA
rnacentral:rRNA from 1 species